rnacentral:rRNA from 1 species
UACGUAGGGUGCGAGCGUUAUUCGGAAUUACUGGGCGUAAAGCGUGCGCAGGCGGCUUUGCAAGACAGAUGUGAAAUCCCCGGGCUUAACCUGGGAACUGCAUUUGUGACUGCAUGGCUGGAGUGCGGCAGAGGGGGAUGGAAUUCCGCGUGUAGCAGUGAAAUGCGUAGAUAUGCGGAGGAACACCGGUGGCGAAGGCAGUCCGCUGGGCCGGCACUGACGCUCAGGCACGAAAGCGUGGGGAGCAAACAGG